GCCAGGCGUGGUGGCUCACGCCUGUAAUCCCAGCAGUUUGGGAGGCCGAGGCGGGUGGAUCACUUGAGGCCAGGAGUUCGAGACCAGCCUGGCCAACAUGGUGAAACCCCGUUUCUA
rfam:Pan troglodytes isolate Yerkes chimp pedigree #C0471 (Clint) chromosome 14, whole genome shotgun sequence.